rnacentral:tRNA from 1 species
GGUUAUGGCUCAGUGGUAGAGUACUUACCUAGCAAGUGCAAGGCCCUGGGUUCGAGUCUCAGCACCA